AAGUCGUAACAAGGUAACCGUAGGUGAACCUGCGGUUGGAUCAUUAACAAAAUCCAAUAAAAGAGCUAGGGGUAACAGCCUAGCUUUUUUAAACCACUGUGAAUUGUUCAAUGUUGGUGCAAACCAGCAGUAUUUUACACAAGUCGUCUAUAAAAGUUUAUUUUAAAUUAAAAAACAACUUUUGGCAACGGAUCUCUAGGCUCUU
rnacentral:misc_RNA from 1 species